rnacentral:rRNA from 1 species
AUUGAACGCUGGCGGCAUGCCUUACACAUGCAAGUCGAACGGCAGCACGGGUGCUUGCACCUGGUGGCGAGUGGCGAACGGGUGAGUAAUACAUCGGAACAUGUCCUGUAGUGGGGGAUAGCCCGGCGAAAGCCGGAUUAAUACCGCAUACGAUCUACGGAUGAAAGCGGGGGACCUUCGGGCCUCGCGCUAUAGGGUUGGCCGAUGGCUGAUUAGCUAGUUGGUGGGGUAAAGGCCUACCAAGGCGACGAUCAGUAGCUGGUCUGAGAGGACGACCAGCCACACUGGGACUGAGACACGGCCCAGACUCCUACGGGAGGCAGCAGUGGGGAAUUUUGGACAAUGGGCGAAAGCCUGAUCCAGCAAUGCCGCGUGUGUGAAGAAGGCCUUCGGGUUGUAAAGCACUUUUGUCCGGAAAGAAAUCCUUGGCCCUAAGACGGUCGGGGGAGGACGGUACCGGAAGAAUAAGCACCGGCUAACUACGG